UACCAGCUCUCCGAGUGGUAGGGAUGAUUAUUGGGCUUAAAGCGUCCGUAGCCGGCUUAGCAAGUUUCCUGUUAAACUCAGCGACUCAAUCGUUGGAUCGCGGGAAAUACUACUAGGCUAGGAGGCGGGAGAGGUCAACGGUACUUCUGGGGUAGGGGUGAAAUCCUAUAAUCCCGGGAGGACCACCAGUGGCGAAGGCUGUUGACUAGAACGCGCUCGACGGUGAGGGACGAAAGCUGGGGGAGCAAACCGGAUUAGAUACCCGGGUAGUCCCAGCCGUAAACGAUGCGAGCUAGGUGUUGGAAUGGCUACGGGCCAUUUCAGUGCCGCAGGGAAGCCAUUAAGCUCGCCGCCUGGGGAGUACGGCCGCAAGGCUGAAACUUAAAGGAAUUGGGCGGGGGAGCGACCACAAGGCGUAAAGCUUGCGGUUC
rnacentral:rRNA from 1 species